GGGGCAGUAAUCCUAAUUUGGUAAGGAAGUGGUUUGCUAAACCACCAGUAAUCCGAAAGGAUGUGCAGGUUCGAGUCCUGUCUGCCCCG
rnacentral:tRNA from 1 species